AUUGAACGCUGGCGGCAGGCUUAACACAUGCAAGUCGAACGAGUGGCGGACGGGUGAGUAAUGCUUGGGAAUCUGGCUUAUGGAGGGGGAUAACGACGGGAAACGGUCGCUAAUACCGCGUACCAUCGGAUGAGCCCAGGUGGGAUUAGGUAGUUGGUGGGGUAAUGGCUAACCAAGGCGACGAUCCCUAGCUGGUCUGAGAGGAUGACCGGCCACACCGGGACUGAGACACGGCCCGGACUCCUACGGGAGGCAGCAGUGGGGAAUAUUGCGCAAUGGGGGCAAGCCUGAGGCAGCCAUGCCGCGUGAAUGAAGAAGGCCUUCGGGUUGUAAAGUUCUUUCGGUGACGAGGCGUUAAUCACAGAAGAAGCACCGGCUAACUCCGUGCCAGCCGCCGCGGUAAUUC
rnacentral:rRNA from 1 species